AACGAACGCUGGCGGCAUGCCUAACACAUGCAAGUCGAACGAGACCUUCGGGUCUAGUGGCGCACGGGUGCGUAACGGGUGGGAACCUGCCCUUAGGUUCGGAAUAACUACCCGAAAGGGGGGAUAAUACCGGAUAAUGUCUUAGGACCAAAGAUUUAUCGCCUUUGGAUGGGCCCGCGUUGGAUUAGAUAGUUGGUAGGGUAAAAGCCUACCAAGGCGACGAUCCAUAGCUGGUCUGAGAGGAUGAUCAGCCACACUGGGACUGAGACACGGCCCAGACGCCUACGGGAGGCAGCAGUGGGGAAUAUUGGACAAUGGGCGAAAGCCUGAUCCAGCAAGGCCGCGUGAGUGAUGAAGGCCUUAGGGUUGUAAAGCUCUUUUACCCGGGAUGAUAAUGACAGUACCGGGAGAAUAAGCUCCGGCUAACUCCGUG
rnacentral:rRNA from 1 species